rnacentral:rRNA from 1 species
ACGUAGGUGGCAAGCGUUGUCCGGAAUUAUUGGGCGUAAGGGAGCGCCGGGUGGGAUGUAAAUAAGUUUUAAAAGUGCGGGGCUAAACCCCGUGAGGGGAUUGAAACUACAUUGCUUGAGGGCAGGAGAGGAAAGUGGAAUUCCUAGUGUAGCGGUGAAAUGCGUAGAGAUUAGGAGGAACACCAGUGGCGAAGGCGACUGUCUGGACUGUAACUGACACUGAGGCUCGAAAGCCAGGGGAGCGUUCUG